rnacentral:rRNA from 1 species
UACGGAGGGGGCGAGCGUUAUUCGGAAUUAUUGGGCGUAAAGGGCGCGUAGGCGGCUUGAUGUGUCAAAGGUGAAAUCCCUCGGCUCAACUGAGGAACUGCCUUUGAAACUGUCUGGCUUGAGGCCGGGAGAGGGUAGCGGAAUUCCCAGUGUAGCGGUGAAAUGCGUAGAUACUGGGAGGAACACCAGUGGCGAAGGCGGCUACCUGGACCGGUUCUGACGCUGAUGCGCGAAAGCGUGGGUAGCAAACAGG